CUCCCCAUCGGAUCCAGGAACUGAAGUUUCUACGGGACCGGGAUCUCUACCUUGACAGCUCAAGCGACCCUGGGCCCUGUUUUUUCUAUAGCCGCAGACCCCCAACUCGAAGAGUACGGAGUAAAAGAAUCUCAGAAUUUGCAAAAAUAACAUGGCGAUAUCUGCCUGACCCUUCGCUGCGUUAACUUAACGGCUGCACUUGGGAGGGCGCUCCUUGAUCUUCGGAUGUGUAGUUCAGUUGUACUGAGAAGACUAAGGAAAUAAGGUGCCCAGAAUCUGUGGUUGAAUGCCUGCAACUAGAAUUACACAUAGUAGUUCUGGAUGGAGCAUAGCAACUAGCCCUUCCUCUGACCUCCAGGGAACUUAAGAACUGUGGACUCCGAACUUGGAUGGUUUGUAUGGGAUGCAACACUUCAUACAGUCACAUGGCAUAGAAAAGAGCUUCUGUGGGUACACAGCAAAACUGCAAAAGUACUGUCUGUGAUUGGGGAGCCUAGGGUGGAUUUGAAAGAAAAUAUGUAUUUGUUAAAUUAAAAGAAAUAACGUUAUCUUUAACUGCUAGCUUAACAAACAUUGACAUUUCUAAUGCACAAAUGGUCUCAAACCAGUACUUUAAUUACAUUUGCAUUUGCAUAACUAAAUUUUAAGAAAUAAGAUGGAAAUCCAUCUUCCAAUUUUUUUCUACAUUUUGUGUGCAUAGUAAGGAAUUUGACCUCCAAAAAGAGAUCUGGCCUUUACUGGCUCCUGGGGAGUAACCUCUACAUGCUUGGACUUUCUUGGGAUAGGAGUGUUUUUUGUUAUUCAUGGUAGGCCUGGGCACCACACCUGACAGUUCAUAAACUAAGGAGGUGCAAAGUGGGGACAGCCAAACCUGUAGACUUAGGGUGGGGUGCAGGCCACACCAGAAGGACCAACCAUGUGAUUAUGGGUUGAACUUGUGAGUCCUGUCAUGUCAGCCUGACCUGGGAGGAAUAAAGUGUCUGAAGAUUAAAUUCAAAUGUAUGAGCAUUGAUUCCACCAAUCAUGCUAUGUAAUGAAACCCCAUAUAAACUGGGGAAGCUUAUAUGGAAGAUUAAGUGAGCUGCUACUAUUGAGAAGAUACAUCCCUGUACCUGGCGUGUGAUGUGUCCUGACUCCAUGUGGAGAGGAACUUCCCAGGUUCCUCUGAGAACCUCCCAGACUUUGCCCUUUGCAUCUCUCCUUUUGGUUUCUUAUUUGUAUCUUUUUACUAUAAUAAAACUAUAAUCAUACUGUUAAAAGAUAUAACACAAAAUUGAGUUUCUAUGGCUAAGAGAUUUAAGAAUGGAAUCAGGAGGUCAUUCUGGAGGUUACUCUUAUUCCUGUCUCAACCAGAUUAUCACAAACUGCCAAAGUAUGCAAAGCCUCAAGCAACAGUGUUCCU